CAACCAUCUAAACAGCUGCUCUGAGUGGGACUUCACUUGGAAUCCAGUAUCUGGCACCAGCUGAUGCCUGGAGAAGACUAUCAGAAAUAAGCAGUCAGUUUUGGAGAUCUGUCCAGGAGAGGCGCAAGAGAAGUAAAAGUGGCUCAGGAGCUGGUAACCAGAUAGAAAAGACUUCAGAAGGGUGUGGAAAAUAUUGAAUGUCUUUAUCAAACAAGAGGGACAGAGGACUCUGCACGCACUGUGCAAGCAGAACAAGGAGAAGCAGUUGUCUGCUGGUCAUGAUGACAAACAACCACAGGUACAAACACUUCAGUACCUCCACACUCAUCUCUCUACUAUUAAGGUAAUUACUCCUCACCCAUGGCAUGACUGGUGGGCAGCACAAAGCAGGGUUUGGCCUGAAGUAGUGUACAUUUUAUUCCUCUGGUUUUGAGUUUUGCAUAGCUCUCACCAGGGUCACCUUAGGGGAGUGCAGUGCCCUUUCUGUUAUGCUGAAGCUGUCAAGAAAGCACUCAAGCAGUUUAGUCAAGUUUAUUGGAAAAUCAGCGGAGGAGAUCAGCUUGUGGGUCUUCUUGAAAGAUGGAUAAGACUCAUUCUUCUUCUCCCUCUUCUACUGCUAGAAACUGGCAGAACUGGGGGCUAAGGUAAUAGUCCAUUUCACAAGCCUGUCCUCGCCUCCUUCUCUUGGGCUUCCCAUCUGUGGAGCAGAAAUAUUUACUGACCAGCGAGUGCAAUUCCUAAGCAAAAAAAAUGCUAUUGCGCAGUAGCGUGAGCAGGCAGGUGGCAGCUGCCCAGUAAACUCACAGAGACCAUUUGAAAUAGCCCAGCCGUGCCACCUGGACCAUCUGCAGGCUGAAGCCCACUCAGCACUCACAUGGCUGCUAGGCGAGCCAAUAGCAAUUGCUGGCUAGACCAGGAUCACUGUUUUUCAUGAUGCCUUCCAGACCUCCAUGGCUCCUCUGGGAAAGAGCAGCACUGCUUAGUGCCCCGUGGAGCCACAGCUGUGUGCUUUGGGGAUGCACAGCCAUCCCCCAGUCAGGACAGCUGGCCACUUCCAGGUCCAGAGUCCUCUAAUUCAGCCCUGAGCAAUGCACAGCUGUUAUUAUGGCAUCACCUGCACGGCAUCCGCUCCAUGGCUCAUUAGCAGGUUGGAUAUAUUAGUAACUGUCAAGCAAUUGGAGAGCUACCUUGUUGGGUGAAUGGAUGAAAACACAUUAACUCCCACAAAAGGGGGAGAGGCGGUGAUUAGC
rnacentral:lncRNA from 1 species